rnacentral:snRNA from 1 species
AACUUUGCGCACGGGCAUGAUCGUAGCUGAGGAAGGUUUAUCCUGAUGGCGCGAUUAUUGCUAGUUGAAAACUUUACCCAAUACCCCGCUGUGUUGAGGUGAAAUACCCUCGACAUUGCAAUUUUUGUCGGCCGUAAGGCC